AGAUGUUGAGUAUUGAUUACCAAUCAACUACUAGCCUGGGAGAUAAAAGCCAAAGCUGUAAACAGACAGGUCAGGUAAAUAUAUGAAUGAAGAAAUUGAAACUAGAAGUAAACAUCAUGGGAAGUCUAAUUAUAGGGCAAGUAUUUUUCCUUCAUAUCUUAUUUAACAUAGUCAAACCAUGCAAUACUUAUAGGCUUAACUAUUGUUUUCAUAGAAACAAUGUUAUUUUAAAUAUCAUGAGAUAGUGUAUUUAAGAGAUAUUGUAGUUCAAGUUUCCAUAUUUAAUCAGCUUAACAAGUGCACAUUCUCUGCUGCCAACAGUACCAAUUUGUCAUCCAAGCAACAAAUAUUCCUUGGUAAUCUGCUAUCAGAUGACAGUUAUCUCUUUGGCAUUUUUAUGAAUUAAAGCUUUCAAAGCCAAAGUAAGACUUAAUUUUUUCUUUUCUUUAACUGCUAAUUCUAAAAUAAUUUAUCAUUGCAUGUUAAAAAUAACUUGUUAUACAUUUUUCUGUGUUUUUGGUCAAGCUUCAGAUUUGCUUAGCAUAUUCCUGUACUACAUAUCAACAAAUGUUUGAUGGUUUGUCUGGUUCAUCUCUUAACACUAUGAAGAUGGCUACACUAAUCUUAACAAGCAAACAUUCUGUUGCCAACAGUACCAAUUUGUCAUCCUAUCCAAGCAACUACUAUUCCUUGGUAAUCUGCUAUCAGAUGAUUACAGUUUUCUCUUUGGCAUUUGUAUGAAUUAAAGCUUUCAAAGCCAAACCUUAGAUUUGGUUAGCAUAACCCUGAACUGCAUAUCAACAAAUGUCUAAUGGUCUGUCUGGUUCAUUUCUCAAGACUAUGAAGAUGGCUACACAGGUAUCAGCUAUCAGCAGUGCACCCCUAUGAUACACAAGUCUUCAUUGCCAAGUCACUCUGCCAAACAGUGUGUACACCUUUCUUGCAUUGGUAGUGACCCACUUUACUGUCAUGAGUCUGGAUAUGUCAGGCCAAGGAGAUCAAGUUUGUGUCCAAGGUUACUUAGUUAAUUCUCUAAGAACAAUAGACAGACUCUACAUGCUACUGAUCUGGAGGUUAGUGGCUCAAUCAUUGUGCACUGAUUCUUCACUGAUGCCUUGAUUCUCCACUGUCAACUUUAUUGUCAUAAAGUUUAUCUAGUGAUCUACAUAUCAAGACUAAAUGGUCAAUUAAACAUGAGGUCAAGGAAAAAGGAUGAACAUUUCAAGGCUACUGAAGGAACAUUAAACGUCUCUCUCACUGUGAAAAGAUUCUACCGAUCUACAAAUGAUCAACAUGUUUUAUCUUAAGUUCGUCUGCCAUUUCUUCAAAUGGAGCCAUAUUAAGAAUAAGAUUCUUUUUGUUCUUCCUUAGCUUCAAAUGUAUCAGUUGUUUUUGUUGACAGAUAUCAAGUCAUUUCAGUUCUCAAUUAUUUUGUGCACCAAGUUACAAGAAAAAAUUUAAGCAAGAGAGGUCACUACACUAAGACUUUGUCUUCUCAUAAGAAAGGAUGGCUGCCUGGUCAUGUGAUAUGUGCACUGGACUGUGUAUGGUCAUCUUGAUGCUCAUAUCUUGCCUGAUGACAUUUAUUCUGCUGAACAUUUGGUCAAGGAAGUAGAUUCUCUUCAGCUCUCAAGAAACAUUCAAAAUAUGUCAAACAUUUGACAAGAAUAUCAAGUGCAAUGUACAUACCAACAUGAUGAAAAGGUAGACAACAUGAAGAUGUAGACCAACAUGAUGAAAAGGUAGACAACAUGAAGAUGUAGACCAACAUGAAGAGGUAGACCAGCAUGAUGAAGAUGUAGGCCAACAUGAUGAAGAUGUAGACCAACAUGAAGAUGAAAUGUAAACCAAAAAAUGGGUCAAGAGAUGUAUGGAAUACAAUGUGAACAUCUUGAGAAGUAAAACAAUUCCUAGAGGCAAAGACACAGACACACCGGAUCUAUUAGAGAUUUUCCUUUUCUACCAUCAUUUAGAGACUUCCUUGUGCUCUAAGGGAACCUGUCAUUAUCUUUUGAUUGCUAAUUGGCAUUGAUGUUUUUACAUUCCUACUGCGUCUGAAAGAAAUUAACAUUUCCCUAAUGCUACUUCAAAACCAGACCUUCUCAAGACAAUUUUAGUGACCAAGCUGCAAUAUGGGACUCAGUAGGAAACAAUGAAGAAUGCUCCUAACCUCAGGUUGAGUAACCAUGCUCACCUACUAGAGUGGCGACAAAUACUUCUACACCCACAGUUAUACAUCCUGAACCCUGUAACCCAACCUCACAACAUGGUUACAUUACCGGAAGUGGUCGCAAGGUCAGAAAACCUAACAGAUACAAUGGAUAGAACAAUGAACAGGUACAAGUACUCAAGUGAUGUACUUUGUGAGAACUAUUUAGGUGGAAUCACCAUAAUUGACUUGUAUAAAUCUUGUUCUAUAUUUAGGUAUAUCUUGACAAUCAGUCCAGUCAUUUGUUAAUUUUUUUUUAAAAUAUUCCUUUUUUUUCCCUCAAUCUUCUUGUUGUUUCAGUUACAUGUUUUUGUAUUUUGAAGGAGGAAGGUGCUUUGGUAUAUUAUCGUUAUUAUUAUUGUACCAGUAUUAAGCAAACUUGUAUAUCUUUAAUUAUUCAUGAAUUCUAAAGCAGAACGUCACUUCCACCGGAAAAUGUUGUAACAACUAUACGUGUCUUCAGUUAACAUUCAAUACUCUGUACAGUCACAACGCCAAAGCCUUGCUAGAUUAUGCUUUUAAUUCAAUUUGUUAUCUCCCCUGCUUUAGUGUGCUAUCAUAUAAUUUUUUGUGUCACAUCCCUGCACAAUUUGUUCUAUGCUUUUUUACAGUAUAAAUAGCGACUUGACAUUAUUUAGCUCUAUUAUAAUAUUGUUAUAUUAUUAUAUUUAAAAUAAAACUGUUAACAUAUUCUAUGCUGUUAUAAUAUAAAUGUUUUGCUGUUACCAUGAAUACAGUUUUGAGUUUUUGUCUGAUUUCUUAGAGGAGAAAUUUUUCAUAAAUAAUAAUAAUAAGGCUUAUCUUCAAGUCCGAAAAUUAGUGAGAAGUAUGCAGUAUUCCCCAGCUAGGACCUACAUAUUUUGCUAUAAAUAAAGAGUAUAAUAAUAUUUACUACUUGGUAUUGUCAGUCUUCACUAAAGCAAUGAGUUUAUCCCCUUAGUGUGUUUAAAAUUUUCAAAUACUAAUUCACUUUGUAUUAUCUAUUGGUGAUCAUGGGGUAUCCACUUUGUCAUCUCCAUAGUCUCUGGUGUUAACACUCACUGUCCUGUUGGAGGUUACGGCUAGGAUGUUAUCUCUCUUUCUGAUGGAACACAUGUAAAACCAACAAAACAAACAUUAGACCUAGACUUUAUUAACAGGUAAAUUUGUAUAAUUGUGAACUGGCGCUCCCAAAGCUACUUUUAUGUAUUUUAAAUUUUACUUCUGUAGGCUAGUGCUAAGCUGUAUACUUGUAUUUCUGCCUAUUAUAUGGGUUAGGGUGGAGUACUUAAAAUAGAACCUAUGCUGUUUCCUGUACUGUUGACCAGUGGUCUCUGUGUCAGUUUUAAUUAUUCUGUACCUGGGACUGCCUGUAAGUUUCAGAAUUUUUCUUUUAUUUUUAAAAAUUUUACUAUGUGUAAAUCUGUUUUAUAUUUGAACAACUGUCAAAAUAACUAGCAGUUUUUUUUUUCUAAAGUUUGUUUUAAAAAUAUGGCCAAGCCCUGCCCAGUGCUGUCAUGAUGGCCACUUCUAAUGUUUAUGUACUAGAUUGUAACUGCUGCCUUAAUCAUUGAAAUUAAAGUCUCAUUUGAAUUUCUU